rnacentral:rRNA from 1 species
GACGAACGCUGGCGGCGUGCUUAACACAUGCAAGUCGAACGAAGUGGCGAACGGGUGAGUAACGCGUAAUCAACCUGCCCUUCAGCGGGGGACAACCGUUGGAAACGACUGCUAAUAACGCCUACUGAAGUAGGGGAUUGCGUCUGUUUAGCUGGUGGGAGGGGUAAAGGCCGACAAAGGCGAUGAUCAGUAGCGGGUAUGAGAGGAUGAACGGCCACAUUGGGACUGAUACACGGCCCAGACUCCUACGGGAGGCAGCAGUGGGGAAUCUUCCGCAAUGGACGAAAGUCUGACGGAGCAACGCCGCGUGAGUGAUGACGGCCUUCGGGUUGUAAAGCUCUGUUAAUCGGGACGCGGUACCGGAAUAGAAAGCCACGGCUAACUACGUGCCAGCAGCCGCGGUAAUUC